AUAUGGAUAGGCGAUGGAGCUCGCCUUUAACCGCUAAAUGUUUGUUAAUUAGCUAAUGGCUCCUACUGGUCA
rnacentral:ncRNA from 2 species